UACGUAGGGGGCUAGCGUUGUCCGGAUUUAUUGGGCGUAAAGAGCGUGUAGGCGGCCAUGUAGGUCCGGUGUGAAAACUCGAGGCUUAACCUCGAGAUGUCAUCGGAAACCAUUUGGCUAGAGUCCGGAAGAGGAGAGUGGAAUUCCUGGUGUAGCGGUGAAAUGCGCAGAUAUUCGGAAGAACACCAGUGGCGAAGGCGACACACUGGCCCAAUACUGACGCUGAGGCUCGAAAGCGUGGGGAGCAAACAGG
rnacentral:rRNA from 1 species